CUCUAUUAUCUCGGCUUCUCGGGAGGAGCCUCAUCUAGUCAGUCACGCAGAAGUUUCUCUUUCGCUCUUCGCGCUACACACCCAGAUUGGCUUCCAGCGCGCAGGCGAGUGGGGCGAAGGAGGGGGGACAGGAGUCCCGGAAGGGCCGUCCGGCGUUCACACCCACCCCUGUUCCGCUCCUCCCGCCCCAAACAAAGUCCCCCGACUCUAGGUCCAGGAUACGUUACCUGCCCGGCGCUCCCGGCCCCUCGGUCACCGCAUCCCCCGCUGGGCGCGCCUGGUACGGGUCCCGCUCCCCGGGGCUCACAAAGUGGUCGCCCCUGGCUGGGCGGCUGGGUAGAUGCCCCUCUCUGGACAUGUUGGGGCGGUUUUUGGGGUGGAGGGAACGCGGGAAGUGAAAGCGGAGGCUGGGACAAGGGGAACUUACUGAUAAAAUGGAAAAAAAAAAAGCCCACAGGGCCCAGGUCCUGGCCGGGGGCGAAAGAGGCCUGUUACCUUUCGGGGGGUCGCGGCCGACCAAGAAGGGAGCCGGGGAGUCGCCCGCCCCCCUCCCCCGGCCCCCGGCCCCCGGCCCCCGGCGGCUGCGGCAGCUGCACACAGAAGCCCAUUGUCGCCGGCGUCCGGCGCGCAGCCCCGCGGACUCGGCCCCGCGGCCAAGCGCGUCAGCGGCCCCGUCAGCCGGGCCGGGCUCCGUGACGCGCGCGCAGCCCGCGCUAUAAAUAACCUGCCGCCGGGCGGCUCGGGCGGCUUUCCAGUGACGCUGGGGCGGAGGCGCGGUAGGAGGAGGGCGAAAGGAAACAAUAAAACCGCCCGGCAGCCUCCCAAGUCUCCCUCCUCCCUUCCCAGGCCGCCCGCGGCCCUUCGCGUCGAGCUCCUUUUUCCCCGCCCCGGCCCGCCCUGCGGGGAGCGCGGUUCGCGGGUGGGAAGGAGCCCGGCGUGCUGGCGUCCCCGAGUGCUGCCGGGGCCCCGGGGCGGGAGGGGGUUUUUCCCGCACCCUGGGAUGGCGAGGAGGGAACUUGGCGACAAGUUUAGUGAGGGGAUCGCUGUGUUCCUUUCUAGUCCAGUUAAAAUGACCCGAGCUUUUCCCGCUCCCUCACACACCUAUUCUAGUACAGGUCGGAUGUGUUUUUGGGGUAGUAAGUCCUCAACCGAAAACAAAAGCGAAAAACCUGUCGUCUUCAACGUAAGCAUUAUCUAGGUUUUUGUGGGGCCAGGCUUGCAUUAGUGUUUUCAUUCGGGGGGUUGUAUUAUAGAAAGGGUGCCCCGUAGUAGCAGCGUGAGGAAGGGUUCCAGGACCCAGGCUGUCAGCUCCGGUGCAUUUACAGGUCUUUUUGCCGUAGAAUUUAGCAUAGGCCUGAAACAUGGCAUAAAUGAACUUUCUAAAAGUCUAUAAUCUCAACGUUAAAGAGCUUACUUUUUAACUCUGGACUUUAAUAAAGGCUCCCACUUUAAAAGGGGCUUUCUCUAUAGGAAAGUAUUAAUAUUUUUGUGGAGACUCUCACUGCUACCUUCCAUACUCAGGCAAUUCUGUCACACACCCUGACACUUGUCCUACUCAUUAAGGUACCCACAUACAACUGGAGGUAAUCUGUUUUCUUGGACCAACAAUUAAUAGACUAUAAAACUGUAUUUCGUCUUGAGCAAAAUGUCUCAGCUAUGAACAUGUUUUCUGAGGUUCUGAUAUAGACAUAGAUAAAAAUUUGCAGAUGCAAGCAAGGUGUUGCAGUGACUUGGCAUGGUUAGAGUGAGUUACUAGUGUUGGGGGAAAUGGUUCUUAGUUCACUAGUGAGGCAAAGUGGUAUAGUAGAAGGUUCUCUGAGCUGGGGUUUAGAAGAUAAAGAAAUUUGAGUUUUAAUUAUGUCUUCACUGUACUUUUCUGUGCCACCUUGCAGAAACCACGGCCUUUCUCUGCCGCACUUUCUUCAUUAACAUUAAGGACUGAUAGUUCCUUUUCUACCCUUACAUUCUAGGAUGUUAAAGGAUAUUGUGUCCAGGGAUAAAGUUUUAUCAAAUAAACAUAAGCACCCAGUGUCUCAUGGGAGACAGGUAACAAAUGUAGAUUAAUUUGGUGUUCUGACAUUUUAAAAUUUUGUACAUCUUAAAAUAUAUUAGGGCCACUUCAGGAAAAUAAUGAAUUAAAAUAUACCAUUAAAACUAUUUUAAGAGGAAAAACUAGUCACAGUCUGCCUCAUUUACAGGACAGCAGACAUAUUUACAGUCUAAUGAUGUCACAGGCCCUUUCCAACACCACGUUUUCUCAUGUGAGCAAAUGGAUUAUGGGUAGCAAAAUGCAAUGAGAUCACUUUCUCCAAUUUUGCUCCCAUUUCUGGUUUGUGUGGUUUUUAAAAGGAAUGUUUCCGUUGAAAGACACUGAAUUGUUUAUCACUAAGUGGUGUUAUUGAGACAAGGGAAAGUUUUCUGAUUUAUCAGUCAGAAUAUGCUUUAUUCUUCUUUCUUCAGGUUGGUGAAUCAGAAAACAUAAAAGUGGCAAAAUAAGUUUAGAGCCAAAACAUUUGCUUCAUAUAGUCACCGCCAAAGUGUGAUCACAACUAAAAGUUAACCAAUAUUUUUCCAGUUCCAAAAGCACAUCUGUCUCUCUUUCCCAUAAAAUGUUUGAUAUGUCUAAUUUAACUUAGCCUUAAGGUUCUUUCUUCUGCUCCUUAUAAAGAGGUAUUUUUCUUUCACUGCUAUUUUCCUGAAACACUGAGCUUCUCUCAUAAUUUUAAAUUAAAGCCCUUUUGCUUACUUCUUAUCCCUUUUUAACGUGAUGUUCCAUUUUCCAUUAUCCCUGCCCUUAAAAAUUUAAUAGGAUGAGAACUAGCAUAUAUUGGCGAAAUUUGAAACAUGCCCGAUUUUAGAGGGGAGGGAGGAAACAAGAUUAGCUUUAGAACCAGUAGAAAUACAGUAAAACAACCAGUUUCCUCAAAACUAACAAAAACAAAAAAAUCAUAACGAAAUUCGUGAAAUAGGGGACUGAAAAUACGGAAAAUAUUUUAUCUGGAUCUCAUUGAUAACAUAAAGCUUGUUACAAUUUUUCAAACAUAGUGAAUGUUUUAGAAUGUGAACAUUUCCCAAUCUUCUGAAGUUUCUGUCUACCUGAGGUUAAAUCCUUUGAAAGACUCCUCUACAGCAACAGUAUUGAAGAAUUUAUUAGAGAAACUACAGUGAACUCUUGCCUUAUUACUCAGUUAAUCCUGAUCUAUAUUUAGAGAGUGGUGCCAGCCAGGUUGAGGCUUCAAAGGAAUGAGCACAAAUAUUUACCAUAUCCUGUGCAGUAGAGUUUUGGUGAUUGAAAUGAAAAUUCAUCUUGGAAAAUAUCACUGAAGUUAUAGUAUAAGCAAAUCUCAGCAACCUUCAAAUGAAUAAAUAGAAGGUUAACAAGAAAAGUGAUGAGGGAUUCUCAGUAUUCCAAAUGAAAGAAAAGAGACAACUCAGAUUUAGAGGUAGGAGCCUUCUUCAUUUAAAAGGCCAAGAAAUUCAGGCAGACAGUGUCUUAAAAAUAAGGGUGACUAAAUUCAGGAAAAUUACAGGGCUCCCAACAUUAGUUAAAAAUGUGGACAUAUACGCACAUAACCGGCCCUUCUGAUGAGGCUGUCCUGAUUUUAAUGGGUAAUGCCUCAAGCUGCCCAGACUUUGGUAUCCUCCCAUUGAUGGGAGCCACUGCAAACAACUUUGUUGUUCUAGUAUAAAUUAUCAACCUCCAACUAGGAUUUGUUAACUAUGAAUUUUUUAAAAUCCUCUGUGUGGGUUUAGGGUCCUAGACUUGUUUGCCCUCGGUUUCAUUCCUGGUUCUUCUUUCCCCUCCUCUGGUCCAUAUCACAGGGACACUAAUCCCUGCAAGCUGCAUUUCCAAGCUUCCUUGUGAGCUGGUUGCCAGCUGGGUUUGAAUGGGAAGCUGGAGGAGGACAGUGGAGAGCUGGAGGGUAGGAAAAGCUAGGGUGUUCCCCACCACACUGCCACACUCCAGCUCCGGCCAAGUGAUCCAUGACCUCUGACCCUGUGCCCCGGUAUCACAGCCUCUUUCCUUUAUUCUUCCAUUUUGGAGUCACAGUGCCUUCAUCCUUUUGAAAAAUAACUGUCCCUUUUUUGGUUUCUUAGCUCUGUUCUCACCUGUUUUACAAAUUUAUUGAAUUAAAUUCUCCCUAUGUUAAAUACUCAGAGCAGUUUCUGUUUUCCUGGUUGGAGCCUGAAUCCAUAUAUCCCUUUGACAGGCAUUACUGGACCGUAUACACGGAAAAUUCGAUUAUUCCUUGAAUUUCUUUUGCUAGGAAUUCUUUUUUAAAAUGUGCUACUUAGAAGUGCUAAUAAAGGGUUCAGUCCUCAGAAAAGCAGGAUAAAACCUAGUACACUUUAAAAAAUCAAUUUCCUGUGGGCAUAAUAUUAAAAAUUAUAAACACAAAAUAUUACAUAACUUCUCGUAAGUCAGAACAGGGCAAAUACAUAGCUGAGGCUGAGACAUAAAUUCCAUGCCAAUAAGAAGGGUGGCAUAUAAUACCUGUCAAGGCUUAAUUUACAUCACACAUUUGUGAGGCCUACUCAUUCACUAGCUUGUUUGCCAAUGGUCUCCGCCUCCUCAGAUCUUAAACGAGAGAAGGAGAGAGAGAAAGAAGAAGACACUUACAUUACUAAUUUGAAACUUUAUUAUAUAUGUGAUUCCUUGGAAUAAUAUUUUGAAAUCUACAUCAUGUCUGUAUUUUUCUUUUCCCUGUAUUUUCUGCUAUUGCUUCUCUCCUCCCUCUCCACCCCUGUAAGCAGAUCUCCUACUGGGUGUUCAUUGUCCCAAGAAGAGGUAAAAGGAAAUGCAAACAAAAAUGAUCUAUGAGUAUUUAUGGCUUUGUUUUAUAAAAUCCUAAAUUCUUAAGAAAAAGAAUCCAGAGUAUCUGGAAGAAGCUUCAAAGGGGAAAAUAUUUUUCUGAAACUGUUAAAAGGAUUCCCGUGGGCACAUACAAGGGGAGAGAGACAGAACGAUUAGGUUUCCUGAGGGAGAAACAAGGAACUAGAAGCUGAUACUGGGGAAGUAGCCCAAGUAAGAAGAGGCCAGGGUACACUUGGCAAAGGAAUCCCAAGAGGUUGUGGUUUUAGCAUCCAGGUGUGUCACGGGAGACAAAUCAUCACACAAAUACUACCUAGACCUUACUCAUCUGUACUAGAGAUUGCACUAGUUCUUCUUUCCAUUGACCGGUCUUCACCCUAGGGAGCCAAAGUGACUGGUCAAGACUUGUACAGGAGCCACCAGGAGGGAUCUCUGUAUUUCUUUGUUCUCUGUACUUGAACAAAUGUAAAUUGCCACCACAGGGCACAAGCCUGCUGGAGAACAGAGCCAACACAGAGAAAAUGGAUCCAGGAGAUGAAGAUGGAGAAACUGGGUGCUGAAGACCUUUGAGCUGUUUUUGGAGCUAGACUGAUCACUGGACUUUCAAAUCAUAUGAGUAAAACCUGGCUGUGCCCUGUUGAAAUCAAUUCUGUUGCAGUCAUAUGCGGUGGAAUCUGUUCUUCUUUUGCAUCCUACGUAACCAGACCAAGCUGUGGGGUGAGUGCUUUUCUUGUUCUCCAGUGCCAUUUUCAGACCUGUUGUCUUCCUGCAUCCUUCCAAACCCCAGGCUCUGUUAAAGUUGUGCCAUCAGAGUUUUUUGGGUUUCUGUAAAGAUGAGAUCUCACUAUGUUGUCCAGGCUGGUCUUGAACUCCUGGCCUCAAGCAGUCCUCCUGCCUUGGACUCCCAAAGUGCUGAGAUUACAGACAUGAGCCAUCACACCUGGCCCUGUGCCAUCAGACUUUGGCACCUAUUCCCCUUCCUUGUUGCUGUCAUCUAGAGAAUUCAGUUAACUUUAUUCUUUGAUAAAUUUAGCACCUGGCUCAUUGGGGCUUUUUUCAUUAUUAUUCUGAUGUUAUUCUCACUCACUUCCUUCUUUCUGACUUCAAUGCCCACUCAAAUAUUACAUCUAAUACCUUAGACUCCAGUUUCCAGAUCCUCCCACCUUACAAUAGAAUGAUAUAAUUCUUCACCGACCAUCAGCUAUCCACUCCUGUCUAAGGUCAUACUUCUGACCUUGUAAUCAUCAAUAAGUCCAUCAUCUCCAGUAUCUCUAGUACCAGCAUCCCAUUCUUUGACUAUUGUCUUCUAUCCUAAAAGCUCACUAAACCAAGAAUAUCUAUACAAACAAUAUCUUGCCUUUAUUAAGACUCUCUAAUCUGGUGAGUUUAUGACUGAAUCACUAUCAAUCUGUCCUCUUCAGGUACUCCCUUCCUUAUUCACUCACCUUAGACUCUGUAAUACAUUAUUAAGCCACUGUUUGAUAACACCCUUCACUCCCUUGCCUCUGCCACCCUCCUUCACCUUAGCCGAGCUGCAACCCUCUUAUACCCAAUGGUCCCCAUGCAACAACACAACUGAACACUGGUGAAGACAAAAACGUAUGCUUGCUAGCAUCACUUUAAAUUCUGGCUAUAAAUCUCAAGUGGGUAGUCAAGAGCAGUAUUAUUAAACCUGUAGGACUUUUGCAUUCCCACUUUCCAAAAUGAUAAUUUCACCUCAUGUCUUAACUCCUUAAAUCUCCUGACCCAUUUUACUGUUCAUAGUCUCAGCUUAUAACAUUGCUUCAUAAAUCAUUGAGAAAAUAGAAGUAGUUUGACAAGAAUUCCCUCACCUUUCCAAUCAAAUAUUAUCUAUCCUCCUCACUCUAUACCUAUUUUCUGCCUGCUCAAUUUAUUGUAGAGCAACUGUCUCUGCUGCUGUCACUGGUACACUCUCUGGUUUUACUCUGGAAUUCAUGCCCCCCUCACCUUAUUAAAGGUUUUGUUUCUCAAUUCUCUGCUCAUUCUUCCCUGAAUCAUCACUUCUUUCCUCAAUCACUCCCAUUGUCAUAUACCAGUUCUAAUAAUUCCUUUCUUACACACACACAAACACACUGACAACUAAAACAAUAAUAAUAGCAAAAAGAGCAGCAAAAAGACCUUCACUUCACCUUCCAUCCUUUUCCAGCGGUCUCCUGUGUCUCAGCUUAAAUGUUUUCCCAGGGGGUCUUCCUCGUCCACCCAUUUAAAAGUAGCAGCUCAGUUAUUUUUUAUCAUAUUAUUCAAUUUGAAGUCUCUUCAUUGCAUUUAUCACUCUCUUAUGUGUGUAUAUGUUAAUGUUUGUUUACUGUUUUUCUCCACCUCCCCCCAUAUUACAUAAGCUCUGGGAGUGCAAGUGUCUUCUGUCUUUUCAUGUCUGUAAUCUCAGCACACAUGAUAGGCGAAGAAAGUCCUCAAUAAUAAUCUUUGAGUGAGUGAACGAAUGAAUGAAUGAAUGACUCUGUGUGUGUGUGUGUGUGUGUGUGUGUGUGUGUGUGUGUGUGUGUGUCUACAACUAGACCAUAGGAUUCACCAGGGCAAGGACUUUGUGUCUUAUAAGUCUUUGUAGUUGGUGUUUAAUAAACACUUGUUGCAUGAGUGAGUGAAUCAUUGCUCUAAAUGAGCAAUAAUCUAAAGAUAAAAGUUAUUAACAUGAUGUUCCGCUUUUAAAAUUUGCAUUGGCAUUUUUACUUUAACAAAAUCAAAAUGAUUUCUUUUAGGAUUAUACUAAUUCCUUUUAAACUAGUGCUAAUUUGUGUGACUUAUCCAUAUGCAUCUAAAUUAAUUUUUCUAACUUUAACUAGAGCUUAUAAAUAAAUAAGUAUACAUAUAUGUAUGUAGAUGGAUGGCUAUAUAUACACCUACCCACACAUAUAUAAAACAUAUGUUAGUCCUGUUCUAAGGAUCUGCCAAACUUUCUUGGUAAGACUUGCCAAUUGCAAUCAUGUGACAGGAUGACAGUUCUCUUCUCUGGGAGAAGUCCAGACUUCCAGUGUCUGGGACAGAAAUAAUGUAGACCAAGAAACAUAUAUAGCUGAUGAUGGAUGAUUUUUGGCUCUCAUAAUGUGAGGUUUGGUCUUCUUAUUGGGAGACUAUGAAAAUCAUUAGAUCAGAAAUUAUUUUUAUUUCUACUCAGUUGAAAGAAGUUUUCCUUCUAGUAUUUCUGUAUGCAGGCAUACUGCAAAGACAAUUUGCUUGGUCAAUAUGGGUUUAUACUAAACUCUACAACUCAAAGAUAGGAUGAGAUCCUUUUGCCAGUGUAGCUGUCUUAUUUUUAUUGGCAUAGUGACUGUGUGUCCAAAUAUACACCAAUUAUAGAUGUUUUCCUGUUGUCAGUAAUAUGGUACUGUUUAAGAGUGAAGACGUUUUCACUCUCAGGCAAAACUGAUUCUGAGGACAUGACAGGGAUACUUCAGUGAUUGCAUUUAUGCGCACAGAGGAGGUUAACAGUUAGGAAUGCUUUCAGUGGUAAGCAACAAAAUAAUUAGCAGUGCUUCAACAAAUUGGGGCUCAGUGGCUCAAUGACAUAAAGAGUGCCAUCUUUGCAAUUCCAAUGACCUUCCUGUCAAAGUCGAAUGAUGGCUGCAGUGCAAAAGUGUGCUAGAAGCAGGAGGUGGUGUGGACAGGUGAGUUUCUCUUUUUGCUUAUAUUCUCUUAUCAAGGAGAUAAAAACACUUAUCCUCCAACAAACUCCUCCAACAAACUUCCCUUUACAUCUUAUUGCCUCUUAAUUUGUCCCAUGACAGUUCCUAGACCAGCUGCCGAAGCUACCUUUCCUGAGAACUAAAAUCCUUGCCUGAUUUCUGAACAAAUGGGGCCUCCACUUGAAAGAGUGGAUAGAGGAAUGGUUUUUGUGAUGGCAAGGAAUAGAGCCUGCCACAGCGGGCUAACAACCACACUCAUGAAGUUUCAUGGAGGAGAUCUUGCUUAUGUUGAAUUCAACAGAAGCCGACAGGUAAUACAGUUGAGAAAGGUUGAAAAGGCAGAGAGAGAGAGCUGCUUCUGCAAGUGUAUUGAACAAUCAAAGGCAAAUAAUUCGUUACAGCUGGGCAUUCUGUACAUGUAGAUUAGUGAGAGAUGACUGCAGAGGUCAGCAGACCUCGUGCCAUAAAGACAACAUGGAAGCAGGGAGUCAAGUUCUCAUACCUUUGGGCAUUCAUUCUGAAAUUGCUAAAGAAGCAAAUAAAUGUCUGUCUGGGCUUUCCCGCCAUACAUGACUGAGAAUAUCCAGACAUUUCUCUAUAUUAAAGAAAAAGGAGAGAGCAGUCAUUACUUAGAAUGUCUUUUUGUGCUUGCGCGCACGUGCUCUCUCUCUCUCUCUCUCCCCCUAGCUAAACCUUGGCUGGGGAGUUUUCUGCAUUUUGCUAAGCUAGAUUGUACUCAAUGGGUUAUAGAGCCCCAGAAGAUUUUUCAGCUACACUUCGCCCACUAAAACCUUUGGAGAAAAGAGGCUGAAUGCUUGCAGUGAAACUAGUCCUGCUACCCUAAUCAUUGUUGAUCAGGCCAAGAAACCAGUACCUGAACCCAAAUUUGUCCCAGUAAGAACUCACCAUAUUGGGUAAAGACAAACCAACAAAAUUAGAUCUCCUCACCUUGAGAAGGGAAACUGAAUGAGAGAUGUAUGCUAGAAAUGUCAGUAGCAGAAGCAACGUGCAGAGGAGGAAGGAGAGAGGGCAGAGGAGGAAGGAGAGAGGGCAGAGGGAAAGAGCUAGAGAGAAAAAGAAAAAGAGGAAAGUGAACAACAGCUGGGCUCUGGAAAUUAACAUAAUAAGUCUCUGGCUAUUGGAAACUGAGGAGGAAAAAAGAACACAGAAAGUGUCAAUCAACUCUCAGACAAUUCUUUAGUGACAUGGACCAUAUUAUCAUGAUUAUCUUCAGUUCAUAGGAAUCAUUAAAUCUAUUCCCAAAAUGCAAUCUAAUAUUCUCCCAAGGAAUAUAAUAUAUUCAAAUAAAAUUAUUGACAAAGGUUACAAUCGUAAAUUAUUUAUCAGGUUGAAUUACUCCCCACCUUCCAGGGAAGUCUCAGGUUGAGGUCUUUGGAAAUAGUCAUGCCACUGUUUCCUCUUUGAGUUUAUGGUUAAUGGCACAGAGAGAAGUCUUUUCUUCCCUGGGUAGUUCUGAGUAAGAAAACAAUAGUCAAACUUGAAUGUAAUCACUGAGGCAACAAGAGAAAGAAAAGUAAUGUUUAGUUAACAGAACUGCAGACCGGAAGAGACAGGAUUCAUGGAUCUGCCAAGGUGAGGAAUACAGCCUGAAAUGCAAAUAGAAGCAGAUUGGAGAACAGGAAAGAAACUUCUGGAGAAAGCAGGCAAAGGGACCUGUUCCAAUGGAAGCACACUUUAUGUCUCCCAGAAUAGUAGUUCCCCAUCCUGGCUUCCUGUCAGAAUUACCUGCAGUUCGUUUCAAAAAAAACACAUUUCCAGAACUUGCUCAAUUCCUGCUGAAUCAAAAUAUGACUUUUUAUGCAGCUGGCCUGUCACCUACACAUGAUGAACUUUUUCCUGUCCAGAGGAAAAUAUCCAUGAUGAUGGCAAAAGUCCUUUCUUGAGAGCUGUCUUUUAUUCUCGGACUAAGGUCAUCUUAAUUUUUUAUUAUAAUAUUCUUCCUUUUAUGAAAUUGUUAUGACAAAACAUGAUGAGGUUUUUUUUAAUGUUCUUACUUAGCAAAAUAAAAAUUAGCAAAACUAUUGCUAGGUCUAUGACCUUGGAUGGUUCACCAAAAUCACCAUCACUAGUUCCUGAUUUUAAAAUCAGAGUAGUAAAACCUGGCUGGGCACGGUGGCUCACACCUGUAAUCCAAGCACUUUGGGAAGCCAAGGCAGGUGGAUCGCCUAAGGUCAGGAGUUGGGAGACUAGCCUGGCCUAACACGGUGAAACCCUGUCUCUACUAAAAAUAUAAAAAGUAGCCUGGCGUGGUGGCGAGCACCUGUAAUCCCAGCUACUCCGGAGGCUGAGGCAGGAGAAUCACUUGAACCCGGGAGGCAGAGGUUGCAGUGAGCCGAGAUCGUGCCAUUGCACUCCAGCCUGGGUAACAAGAGCGAAACUCCGUCUCAAAAAAAAAAAAAAAAAAAAAAAAAAAAAAGAGUAGUAAAACUUAACAGCAUUGUUUUGUGUAGAUUAUAGGAAAUAACAUGUAUAAUACAACUGGUACAUAAGAAACACCCAAUAUGUUCUCUAUGUUAUCAGGUAAAAUACUUUGGUUUGACUCUUGUUACUCAAAUGAUAGGAUGAUUUACUGUUUCAGGUAAGUGAAACGUCUUGACAUUGUGAUUGGCGUCCAGUCUCCUUCAAACAGGACUCUGCUUUUCUAUGAUUCUUUCUGUUGUCCCUUCCACUAUGUUUUGUAUUUGCCUCUGGUCUAGCUUCUCAAGGUAGCCUCCAGGAUGCACAGAGUGAGAGAGGAUGCUUUUCCCUAAACCAGGAACAAAAUUCCAGCCCUAAGGAGAUUGGACCACUCCCGACCAAUGAGUUUGGCCAGGGAGGUCAUGCACUGAUUGGCUCAGCCCUGGAUCAGUCUACUUCUCAACCAAUCAAGGUGCUAAGGAAACAGGAUUACCCUAAACGAUUUAACACACCGGGACUCAUUCCUGAAGCUGGAGAUGCUGUAACACAAUCAAAACUGUAAGGCUUAAAAGAAUUAAAGUAGGAAUUGCCGCAAUUCCCUUCCUAGACUUAUUCCCAAAUAUACUUACUAUGGACUACCUGCAUACAGCAGCCCCUUCACAUAUUUUUACUGCCUGUCAUAAAGUAGUCUGGGUUACAUUUAAAGAAGCUGCCAGCACUUAAUGCAUAGAAGUACUAAAAAUUUGUUACUGAUGUUUGAAAAAUAUAGAAAAUUAGAAGCGGAAUGGCUGAGUGUAGUGGCUUACACCUGCAGUCCCUACAUGUUAGGAGGCCAAGGCAGGAAGACUGCUUGAGGCCAGGAGUUUGAGACUUGGGCAGCAUAGCAAGGCUUUGUCUCUACGAAAAAUUGAAUAAAUGGAUAAAUAAUAAAAGAAAAGGAAAGAAUAAAGAAAAUUAGAAGGGGAAGAAGCCUCUUAUCCCACCAGAGAGUGUAAAUGAUUAUUAAAAUUUAAUGUAGCUCUCCCUCUCCCUCUCCCUCUCCCUCUCCCUCUCCCGCUCCGUCUCCCUCUCCGUCUCCCUCUCCCUCCACGGUCUCCCUCUGAUGCUGAGCCAAAGCUGGACGGUACUGCUGCCAUCUCGGCUCACUGCAACCUCCCUGCCUGAUUCUCCUGCCUCAGCCUGCCGAGUGCCUGCGAUUGCAGGCACGCGCCGCCACGCCUGACUGGUUUUCGUUUUUUUUUGGUGGAGACGGGGUUUCGCUGUGUUGGCCGGGCUGGUCUCCAGCUCCUAACCGCGAGUGAUCCGCCAGCCUCGGCCUCCCGAGGUGCCGGGAUUGCAGAUGGAGUCUCGUUCACUCAGUGCUCAAUGGUGCCCAGGCUGGAGUGCAGUGGUGUGAUCUCAGCUCAGUACAACCUACACCUCCCAGCCGCCUGCCUUGGCCUCCCAAAGAGCCGAGAUUGCAGCCUCUGCCCGGCCGCCACCCCGUCUGGAAAGUGAGGAGCGUCUCUGCCUGGCCGCCCAUCGUCUGGGAUAUGAGGAGCCCCUCUGCCUGGCUGCCCAGUCUGGAAAGUGAGGAGCGUCUCUGCCCGGCCGCCAUCCCAUCUAGGAAGCGAGGAGCGCCUCUUCCCCGCCACCAUCCCAUCUAGGAAGUGAGGAGCGUCUCUGCCCGGCCGCCCAUCGUCUGAGAUGUGGGGAGCACCUCUGCCCCACUGCCCUGUCUGGGAUGUGAGGAGCGCCUCUGCUGGGCCGCAACCCUGUCUGGGAGGUGAGGAGCGUCUCUGCCCGGCUGCUCCGUCUGAGAAGUGAGGAAACCCUCUGCCUGGCAACCGCCCCGUCUGAGAAGUGAGGAGCCCCUCCGUCCGGCAACCACCCCGGCUGGGAAGUGAGGAGCGUCUCCGCCCGGCAGCCACCCCGUCCGGGAGGGAGGU
rnacentral:lncRNA from 1 species